rnacentral:rRNA from 1 species
UACAGAGGGUGCGAGCGUUAAUCGGAAUUACUGGGCGUAAAGGGCGCGUAGGUGGUUAAUUAAGUUGGAUGUGAAAUCCCUGGGCUUAACCUAGGAACUGCAUACAAUACUGGUUAACUGGAGUGUGGUAGAGGGUAGUGGAAUUUCCGGUGUAGCGGUGAAAUGCGUAGAUAUCGGAAAGAACACCAGUGGCGAAGGCGGCUACCUGGACUAACACUGACACUGAGGCGCGAGAGCGUGGGGAGCAAACAGG